CCAGCCAUGCCGCGUGUGUGAAGAAGUUCUUCGGAUUGUAAAGCACUUUAAGUUGGGAGGAAGGGCAGUAAGUUAAUACCCUGCUGUUUUGACGUUACCAACAGAAUAAGCACCGGCUAACUUCGUGCCAGCAGCCGCGGUAAUACGAAGGGUGCAAGCGUUAAUCGGAAUUACUGGGCGUAAAGCGCGCGUAGGUGGUUCAGCAAGUUGGAUGUGAAAUCCCCGGGCUCAACCUGGGAACUGCAUCCAAAACUACUGAGCUAGAGUACGGUAGAGGGUGGUGGAAUUUCCUGUGUAGCGGUGAAAUGCAUAGAUAUAGGAAGGAACACCAGUGGCGAAGGCGACCACCUGGACUGAUACUGACACUGAGGUGCGAAAGCGUGGGGAGCAAACAGGAUUAGAUANCCUGGUAGUCCACGCCGUAAACGAUGUCGACUAGCCGUUGGGAUCCUUGAGAUCUUAGUGGCGCAGCUAACG
rnacentral:rRNA from 1 species